AAGGGCACCACAAGAACGCGUGGAGCAUGUGGCUUAAUUUGACUCAACGCGGGAAAUCUUACCGGGUCCGGACACACUGAGGAUUGACAGGCAAUAUUAUAUACACAAAUCAGACUCUCGAGUCUGUGCUGUUAUAUAUGUUAAAUAUGCUAGUCCUUUCAUGAUUAUGUGAUAGGUGGUGCAUGGCCGUUCUUAGUUCGUGGAGUGAUCUGUCUGCUUAAUUGCGUUUCACUAUUGGGCUUAUAUAAUUACGUAUGCACGCUAACGCUUUGACCCCUUUUCUACGGAAUUGUGCGUGUCUUUGUUUCGUUUAGCUCAUACAAUUAAGCCCUGAAAGCAACGAACGUGACCGCAACCUCUUGUUGCUCUCAAUUUUGAUUCUUGUGUUACGGCACAAAUCAUGCCAACAUUUUCUUGCUUUACUGUGAGAUUUUGUCGGUUAAGAGAGCUUUCUAAACUAGAGGGACCGCUGUUACUUUCUUAAACCAGAGGAAGGUUGCGGCAAUAACAGGUCUGUGAUGCCCUUAGAUGUUCCGGGCUGCACACGUGCUACAAUGAUUAUUGCAGUGAGCAUCUCAUUUUUUACAUACAUCGCAUGCGCGAGUCCAUUUAUUCAACGCCUCGUGUGUUGCUUUAAAUGUGCACCUCUGCGCGCGAUAAAGCCUACUUCGAAAGUAAGCGGGUAAUCAAUUAGAAGUAAUGAUUUCCUUUUUUUCCUGCACACAUAUAUAUGGCACUUAUACCCGGGUAGCCUUGUUGCUACUUCUGUGCGUAUCAGUGAUAUUUUGUGGAUUUUACUUCACAUUAUAUAUUACCAUAUGUGCAAUUGUCAAUUCAUGGUGGGGACAGACCAUUGUUAAUU
rnacentral:rRNA from 1 species